AUGCUUUACACAUGCAAGUCGAACGGUAACAGGGUGCUUGCACCGCUGACGAGUGGCGAACGGGUGAGUAAUGCGUCGGAAUGUACCGUGUAAUGGGGGAUAGCUCGGCGAAAGCCGGAUUAAUACCGCAUACGCCCUGAGGGGGAAAGUGGGGGACCGUAAGGCCUCACGUUAUACGAGCAGCCGACGUCUGAUUAGCUAGUUGGUGAGGUAAGAGCUCACCAAGGCGACGAUCAGUAGCGGGUCUGAGAGGAUGAUCCGCCACACUGGGACUGAGACACGGCCCAGACUCCUACGGGAGGCAGCAGUGGGGAAUUUUGGACAAUGGGCGCAAGCCUGAUCCAGCCAUGCCGCGUGUCUGAAGAAGGCCUUCGGGUUGUAAAGGACUUUUGUUCGGGAGGAAAUCCCGCUGGUUAAUACCUGGCGGGGAUGACAGUACCGGAAGAAUAAGCACCGGCUAACUACGUGCCAGCAGCCGCGGUAAUACGUAGGGUGCAAGCGUUAAUCGGAAUUACUGGGCGUAAAGCGUGCGCAGGCGGUUGUGCAAGUCUGAUGUGAAAGCCCCGGGCUUAACCUGGGAACGGCAUUGGAGACUGCACGACUAGAGUGCGUCAGAGGGGGGUAGAAUUCCACGUGUAGCAGUGAAAUGCGUAGAGAUGUGGAGGAAUACCGAUGGCGAAGGCAGCCCCCUGGGAUGACACUGACGCUCAUGCACGAAAGCGUGGGGAGCAAACAGGAUUAAGAUACCCUGGUAGUCCACGCCCUAAACGAUGUCAACUAGCUGGUGGGGGUUUGAAUCCUUGGUAGCGUAGCUAACGCGUGAAGUUGACCGCCUGGGGAGUACGGCCGCAAGGUUAAAACUCAAAGGAAUUGACGGGGACCCGCACAAGCGGUGGAUGAUGUGGAUUAAUUCGAUGCAACGCGAAAAACCUUACCUGCUCUUGACAUGUAACGAACUUGGUAGAGAUAUCUUGGUGCCCGAAAGGGAGCGUUAACACAGGUGCUGCAUGGCUGUCGUCAGCUCGUGUCGUGAGAUGUUGGGUUAAGUCCCGCAACGAGCGCAACCCUUGUCAUUAGUUGCCAUCAUUAAGUUGGGCACUCUAAUGAGACUGCCGGUGACAAACCGGAGGAAGGUGGGGAUGACGUCAAGUCCUCAUGGCCCUUAUGAGCAGGGCUUCACACGUCAUACAAUGGUCGGUACAGAGGGUUGCCAAGCCGCGAGGUGGAGCUAAUCUCAGAAAACCGAUCGUAGUCCGGAUCGCACUCUGCAACUCGAGUGCGUGAAUGCGGAAUCGCUAGUAAUCGCAGAUCAGCAUGCUGCGGUGAAUACGUUCCCGGGUCUUGUACACACCGCCCGUCACACCAUGGGAGUGAGUUUCACCAGAAGUGGGUAGGCUAACCGUAAGGAGGCCGCUUACCACGGUGGGAUUCAUGACUGGGGUGAAGUCGUAACAAGGUA
rnacentral:rRNA from 1 species